rnacentral:rRNA from 1 species
CUCCGGGGGUAGCGGUGAAAUGCUAUAAUCCCUGGGGGACCGCCAGUGGCGAAAGCGCUCGGCGAAACCGGACCCGACGGUGAGGGACGAAGGCCAGGGGCGCAGACCGGAUUAGAUACCCGGGUAGUCCUGGCUGCAAAGUAUGUGGGUUAGGUGCCGGACGUUCCUCGAGAGCGGUCGGUGCCGAAGGUAAGCCGUUAAGCCCACCGCCUGGGAAGUACGGCUGCAAGGCUGAAACUUAAAGAAAUUGGCGGGGGAGCACCACAAGGGGUGGAGCCUGCGGUUUAAUUGGAUUCAACGCCGGACAUCUCACCGGGGGCGACGGCAGAAUGAAGGCCAAGUCGACGACUUUGCCGGACUCGCCGAGAGGUGGUGCAUGGCCGCCGUCAGCUCGUAUCGUGAGGCGUCCUGUCAAGUCAGGUAACGAGCGAGACCCUCACCCUUAGUUGCCAGCGGAUUCCUUACGGAAUGCCGGGAACUCUAGGGGGACCGCUACCGAUAAGGCAGAGGAAGGAGAGGGCGACGGUAGGUCCGUAUGCCCCGAAUCCCCCGGGCAACACGCGGGCUACAAUGCGCAGGACAGAGGGCUGCGACCCCGAAAGGGGAAGCCGAUCCCUAAACCUGUGCCUAGUUCGGAUCGAGGGCUGAAACUCGCCCUCGUGAAGCUGGAAUCCCUAGUAACUGCGUGUCACUAUCGCGCGGUG